rnacentral:rRNA from 1 species
UACGUAGGGUCCGAGCGUUAAUCGGAAUUACUGGGCGUAAAGCGUGCGCAGGCGGUUUUGUAAGCCAGAUGUGAAAUCCCCGGGCUUAACCUGGGAACUGCAUUUGGGACUGCAAGGCUCGAGUACGGCAGAGGGAGGUGGAAUUCCACGUGUAGCAGUGAAAUGCGUAGAGAUGUGGAGGAACACCGAUGGCGAAGGCAGCCUCCUGGCCAGUACUGACGCUCAGUGCACGAAAGCGUGGGAGC